rnacentral:rRNA from 1 species
UACGUAGGGCGCGAGCGUUGUCCGGAAUUAUUGGGCGUAAAGAGCUCGUAGGCGGCUGGUUGCGUCUGCUGUGAAAGUCCAGGGCUCAACCCUGGAAUGCCGGUGGAAACUGUCGGGCUAGAGUCCGGAAGAGGCGAGUGGAAUUCCUGGUGUAGCGGUGAAAUGCGCAGAUAUCAGGAGGAACACCAAUGGCGAAGGCAGCUCGCUGGGACGGUACUGACGCUGAGACGCGAAAGCGUGGGGAGCAAACAG